GAUGAACGCYGGCGGCGUGCUUAACACAUGCAAGUCGAACGAAGCACUUGAAUGGAAUUCUUCGGAAGGAAGCUCAAGCGACUGAGUGGCGGACGGGUGAGUAACGCGUGGGUAACCUGCCUCAUACAGGGGGAUAACAGUUAGAAAUGACUGCUAAUACCGCAUAAGCACACGAGACCGCAUGGUCAGGUGUGAAAAACUCCGGUGGUAUGAGAUGGACCCGCGUCUGAUUAGCUGGUUGGUGGGGUAACGGCCUACCAAGGCGACGAUCAGUAGCCGGCCUGAGAGGGUGAACGGCCACAUUGGGACUGAGACACGGCCCAAACUCCUACGGGAGGCAGCAGUGGGGAAUAUUGCACAAUGGGGGAAACCCKGAUGCAGCGACGCCGCGUGAAGGAUGAAGUAUUUCGGUA
rnacentral:rRNA from 1 species